UUCACCCGGCUCAGCCCUCCUGUAUUGUUAUUCUUCUGUUUUCAGUCAGGGUCUCAAGGCGCCUAAGUCUGAUUUGAACUGUUUCUUCUGCCUCCACUUUCCCAAUGUUGUGACUACUGGGAGGAUGCCGCCAAUCUUGGCUUAUGUUACUUUUCUCUUUCUCCUUCAUACUCUCCCUCCUUCCCACUUUUUUCCUUUCUAUUUUCCCUCCCUCCCUCCUUCCUUUCUUCUUUUUUUUUUGUGUAUAUUGAUUUUACUUAUUUUAUGUCUGAUAAUAUACCAAAUACCUGGAUUUUUUUUUUUUAAACAAGGUAUUACUGUGUAGCCUAGAGCUCACAAACUUAAAACAAUCUUCCCAUCUCAGUCUCCAGAGUCCUGGGGUUACAGGCACGUGUGCCCCACCCUGUUUGUAUAUUACCUGAUAGGCACUCUCUUUCCGUGUUCUCUGCAUGCUUUUUGCUUUUCCUCAUUUUGUUUUUCUCCACUGUGCUGUUGUACUUUCGGUACAUAGUUUUUACUUAUGUAGUUGUUUUGUUUGUCUCCCUCCAUUAGAAUUUGCUCCACAUUAUUAGAGGGUUUGCUUGUUUUAUUCAUUGCUGCUUCUCUUCUGUCUUUCUAAACAACAAAUGUUAUAAAGUGAGUGCUCAAUAAAUAUUUCUUUA
rnacentral:lncRNA from 1 species